CGGGCCUCAUUAGAAUUAGAAUUUAUUCAAUUUUAUUGUAUCAUACUUAUUGUACAUACAUUAUAUUAGUUAUUAGUAUAAAAUUUUCUCGUUUGGAGUGCCCAUAGUCAGUUCUGACACAUAAUCCAGAUUAGAGAUUUUUUUUGCCAGUCAUGUUAUCACAUUUCGUCGUUUAACCAGUAUUAUCUUAAACAUUGAUUUUAUAAUAUACAGAUAAACCAUUCUAUUGUUAAUAGUGGCAGUGGCUAAUUGCAUUCAGCCGUUAGACGUCGAUGUGUUCAAUUGCAUUCAAGAGGGGUAAAUAUAGGAUGGGUGCUGUUUUGCUAUACGCGCUACGAUAGCCGAUUAUAUUCUAUUUUUAGGAUUUGUUUUAAUUGUUGAUAUAUUUUACUCUGUCGACAAAAAUAACGGUGUUUCGGAUAAUUGAGUGGCUACUCACGUUGAGUGACAAUGUAACCAAUUUGGAAAUAUCAUUGAUUUUAUAUAAUAUAAAAUAUUCAUUUUAUUGUACUUAUUCGUAUUAAGCUGUUUCCACAUCCACAUUUACAGACACAUUUUCAGUAUAUUUAUCUUAAUUAAUCUUAAAAUAUUUAAUCAAUUUUAAAAUUUCAAACUUAUGAUGUCUGGUAAUAUCUGUCAAUAUGUGAAUUGCAACAAAUCAAAAAAAAAUUUUCCAACAUUGAAAAUGUUUCGAUUUCCGAGAGAUGAAACUAGAUUAGACACAUGGACCAUCAAUGCAGGAAAUUGAAAAUUAUUGUCUCUUGAUAAAUCAAAACUGUACACUAAAUAUUUAUGCCAAGAACAUUUUUCAUCUGACUGUUUUAUGACUAAAGAAAUGACGAAGUUAAAGCCAACUGCUAUUCCUUAUAAAUUUAGCGAUAAAGAUCAACCAUCAGCAUCCAGUGGAAUUUUUGAAAAUGAAAAAUUGUUACCACUAAGUCUUAAUUCUAAUGUAUUAACUCCUACAAAAUGUUAUGAGCACCAUGCGACGUCUGAUGUAAAAGAAUUAAUAUUUUCAAGUCCUAUUAUGACCACACCCGAAAAACGAAUACAAGAUAUAAUAGAUAUGCCCUGUCCUAAUUUAAAAAUAAAUUGUUUUGAUGACGAUACACCUAGGAAAAAAAAUUAAAAGCACAGUUGCAAAAUCAAUCUACCAAAUUGAAAAAUAAAAGAUCUCGUAUAACACUGGUAACAAUGUAAAUAAGGAAAAACCACCGACCAUGGUCACAAGAGGAAAAACAGUUAUCUUUAUCUUUAUAUUACAAAUCUCCAGCUGCAUAUAAUUUUUUAAAAUUGCAAAACAUCAACUUACCAGGAACGUCAACCAUUCGCAGAUGGAUUG